rnacentral:rRNA from 1 species
CGGACAGAUGGGAGCUUGCUCCCUGAUGUUAGCGGCGGACGGGUGAGUAACACGUGGGUAACCUGCCUGUAAGACUGGGAUAACUCCGGGAAACCGGGGCUAAUACCGGAUGCUUGUUUGAACCGCAUGGUUCAAACAUAAAAGGUGGCUUCGGCUACCACUUACAGAUGGACCCGCGGCGCAUUAGCUAGUUGGUGAGGUAACGGCUCACCAAGGCAACGAUGCGUAGCCGACCUGAGAGGGUGAUCGGCCACACUGGGACUGAGACACGGCCCAGACUCCUACGGGAGGCAGCAGUAGGGAAUCUUCCGCAAUGGACGAAAGUCUGACGGAGCAACGCCGCGUGAGUGAUGAAGGUUUUCGGAUCGUAAAGCUCUGUUGUUAGGGAAGAACAAGUACCGUUCGAAUAGGGCGGUACCUUGACGGUACCUAACCAGAAAGCCACGGCUAACUACGUGCCAGCAGCCGCGGUAAUACGUAGGUGGCAAGCGUUGUCCGGAAUUAUUGGGCGUAAAGGGCUCGCAGGCGGUUUCUUAAGUCUGAUGUGAAAGCCCCCGGCUCAACCGGGGAGGGUCAUUGGAAACUGGGGAACUUGAGUGCAGAAGAGGAGAGUGGAAUUCCACGUGUAGCGGUGAAAUGCGUAGAGAUGUGGAGGAACACCAGUGGCGAAGGCGACUCUCUGGUCUGUAACUGACGCUGAGGAGCGAAAGCGUGGGGAGCGAACAGGAUUAGAUACCCUGGUAGUCCACGCCGUAAACGAUGAGUGCUAAGUGUUAGGGGGUUUCCGCCCCUUAGUGCUGCAGCUAACGCAUUAAGCACUCCGCCUGGGGAGUACGGUCGCAAGACUGAAACUCAAAGGAAUUGACGGGGGCCCGCACAAGCGGUGGAGCAUGUGGUUUAAUUCGAAGCAACGCGAAGAACCUUACCAGGUCUUGACAUCCUCUGACAAUCCUAGAGAUAGGACGUCCCCUUCGGGGGCAGAGUGACAGGUGGUGCAUGGUUGUCGUCAGCUCGUGUCGUGAGAUGUUGGGUUAAGUCCCGCAACGAGCGCAACCCUUGAUCUUAGUUGCCAGCAUUCAGUUGGGCACUCUAAGGUGACUGCCGGUGACAAACCGGAGGAAGGUGGGGAUGACGUCAAAUCAUCAUGCCCCUUAUGACCUGGGCUACACACGUGCUACAAUGGACAGAACAAAGGGCAGCGAAACCGCGAGGUUAAGCCAAUCCCACAAAUCUGUUCUCAGUUCGGAUCGCAGUCUGCAACUCGACUGCGUGAAGCUGGAAUCGCUAGUAA